AGUGAACGCUGGCGGUAGGCCUAACACAUGCAAGUCGAACGGAAGCGCACUAAUAGCUUGCUCUUAUGGGGGGCGAGUGGGGGAAGGAUGAGGAAAACAUCCGAAUCUACUUUUUGGUAGGGGUUAAGGUAGGGGGACCUAAGCUAAUAUCGGAUACGCUCUACGGGUGUAAGCAGGGGAACUUCGGACCUUGUGGGAUUGAAUGAGCGGAUGACGGAUUAGCUAGUUGGGGGGUUAAUGGCCAAGCAAGGCGGCGAUACGUGGCGGGGCUGGGUGGAUGGUCCGCCACGCGGGAAGUGAGACACGGUCCAGACUCCGACGGGAGGCAGCAGUGGGGAAGAUUGGACGAAGUGCGCAAGCCUGAUCCAGCCAUACCACGUGGGUGAAGAAAGCCUUCGGGUUGUAAAGCCCUUUUGUUGGGAAAGAAAAGCAGCAGGUUAAUACCCCGCUGUUCUGACGGAACCCAAAGAAUAAGCACCGGCUAACUUCGG
rnacentral:rRNA from 1 species